UUUUUGUUUCUUUUAAAAUGUUGCUGCAUGCUUGCAACUCUCUGAUGUGUCUGUCUGUUUUGUCCUCGCGCCUUAUGAUCCAGCUUUUUAUGUCUGUCUGUCCAUCCGUCUGUCGCUGGGGAACAGGGACCAUCAAAAAGAGAGAAGAAGCAUUGCUAUAAAGACGGCUCCUUUGUUGCUAGGCAGCAGGGAUAUUGUACAAGAGUGAAUCACUGCUGUACUGACUGUUGCUGAUUUAAUACAGACAAUCAGAGCCUGAGGACCUGAAGGGAGAGGUUGGGAAAGAAGAAAGAAGAGCAACACUGCAGAGUGAGAAAGAAACCAAGAACAUCAUUUUAGUUUAGUGUUAAUGGAUAAUAAUGAAUGCCAUUUCUUGAGUGGCCAUAUGUGUUUUGGCUACUGGACAUGAGAAGUUAUCUACAAUAGUUUUACCAGGAUUAAGUCUGUCUAAAUUUCUUAAAGGUCCGACAUGGGAAAUUAAAAAACACUUCAUCUUCAGUAAGAGCGAAUAAGACUUGA